UACGGAGGAUGCGAGCGUUAUCCGGAUUUAUUGGGUUUAAAGGGUGCGUAGGCGGAUUUUUAAGUCAGCGGUAAAAUGUCCGGGCUCAACCCGGGCCGGCCGUUGAAACUGGGGAUCUUGAGUGGGCGAGAAGUAUGCGGAAUGCGUGGUGUAGCGGUGAAAUGCAUAGAUAUCACGCAGAACUCCGAUUGCGAAGGCAGCGUACCGGCAUCCAACUGACGCUGAGGCACGAAAGCGUGGGGAUCAAACAGG
rnacentral:rRNA from 1 species